GUCGGAAUUGCUAGUAAUCGCAGAUCAGCAUGCUGCGGUGAAUACGUUCCCGGGCCUUGUACACACCGCCCGUCACACCAUGAGAGUCGAUAACACCCGAAGCCUGUAGUCUAACCAUAAGGAGGACGCAGUCGAAGGUGGGAUUGAUAAUUAGGGUGAAGUCGUAACAAGGUAUC
rnacentral:rRNA from 1 species